CCCCUUAUGACCUGGGCUACACACGUGCUACAAUGGUUGGUACAACGAGUUGCGAGUCGGUGACGGCGAGCUAAUCUCUUAAAGCCAAUCUCAGUUCGGAUUGUAGGCUGCAACUCGCCUACAUGAAGUCGGAAUCGCUAGUAAUCGCGGAUCAGCACGCCGCGGUGAAUACGUUCCCGGGCCUU
rnacentral:rRNA from 1 species